AUACCUUUCUCUGCCUUUUGGCUAACAUCAAGCGUAGUAUCUGUUUUUAUUAGUUUAAUAUCUGAUAUAUGGACCAUGUGUCCACUUUGAUAUUAAUUUAUUUUUUGUGGGGAAGAACUCACCACCGUGGCUUGCCACUAGAGUUCGAGUUCUCGAGCGUUGCUUUGGCGUUGCAGUACAGCCUUAGCCCAGUUUCACUUUG
rfam:Oryza brachyantha chromosome 7, whole genome shotgun sequence.